CACUAAGUCACUUUGUCUUUAUGGCAAAUGUGAGAUGCAGUGUAUGGAAUGUCAAAUUUCUAGUAUGAGAAGUUAACGAUUUAAGUCCUUCUUAAAUGAGGCCAUUUACCCAAAGAGGGUGCCAGGCCCGUAUAACGUUAAUGAUUAUUAGAUGGCAUUUCCAAAGAGUCGUGUUGCUUGAUAGUGCAGCACUAAGUGGGUGGUAAACUCCAUCUAAAACUAAAUAUAACCAUGAGACCGAUAGUAAACAAGUACCGUGAGGGAAAGUUGAAAAGAACUCUGAAUAGAGAGUUAAAUAGUACGUGAAACUGCUUAGAGGUUAAGCCCGAUGAACCUGAAUAUCCAUUAUGGAAAAUUCAUCAUUAUGAUUUUAAUAUUUAUAAUAUUAUAAUAAUGGUGUGCAUUUUUUCUGUAAAGGACAUUGUAAUCUAUUAAUAUACAUUAAUUUAUCAUAAGAUCAUUUGCGUAAGUUUAUUCAAAUUAUUUUGCUUGCAAUUUAAUAUCGAAUAAAUGCUUUUGAUUUGAUAAAGUGUUGAUAGAUUUAUUAUAUACAGUGCUUAAAUAUUAAUAUUUUAUAAUAGCAUAUUAAUCAAUGAUUUUUAUGUUCAUUAUAUGCACUUGUAUGAUUAACAAUGCGAAAGAUUCAGGAUACCUUCGGGACCCGUCUUGAAACACGGACCAAGGAGUCUAACAUAUUUGCAAGUUAUUGGGAAUAAAAACCUAAUAGCGAAAUUAACAUAACUUAUUUAAUGGGAUUAGUUUUUAGCCUAUUUAUAGUCUAUUAAUUCAAUCCCGGGGCGUUCUAUAUAGUUAUGUAUAAUAAUAUUUAUAUUAUUUAUGCCUCUAACUAGAGCGUACCUUGAGCAUAUAUGCUGUGACCCGAAAGA
rnacentral:rRNA from 1 species